GAACUCUCUCUUUAUGUUUAAAAAGGUUUGUUUUGUUCCUGCCCUUUUCAGACACUGAAUUUGAGCAGAAACCAUAAGGAUACUCAAAGGACCUGUGACUCUCAGGAAAUGCAUCAAAUGAGAGGGACAGAUGAAACAGUUUCAAGACAAUGGCAGGAAAAACAUGCUGAAGAUUGAAACAAACCUUGGCUGGAAAUAUUUGAAGGUAUCUAGCCAGUCCACAAUGAAAGCUUCAUUGCACCCCAUGAGUCUUCUGGCAGAAAUGAUGCCGCCUGUAUUCUUUGGUUUCCCUAAACAUCACACCCUGCCUGUUUAUAUGAGGCUCUUCAAUUAAGUCUGCACCCAAAGAUUUAA